rnacentral:rRNA from 1 species
UACGUAGGGUGCAAGCGUUGUCCGGAAUUAUUGGGCGUAAAGAGCUCGUAGGCGGUUUGUCGCGUCGAAUGUGAAAACCCGGGGCUCAACCCCGGGCCUGCAUUCGAUACGGGCAGACUAGAGUUCGGUAGGGGAGUCUGGAAUUCCUGGUGUAGCGGUGGAAUGCGUAGAGAUCCGGAAGAACACCAGUGGCGAAGGCGGCCUGCUGGGCAGUUGCUGACGCUGAGGCGCGACAGCGUGGGGAGCAAACAGG